CGAGAACGUCCCGGCUUGCCGGGAUUAGUAAAGUGGCGCACGGGUGAGUAACACGUGAGUAAUUUCCCCCUAAGCUUGGGAUAACACUGCGAAAGCGGUGCUAAUACCGAAUAAGACCACGGUAUCACAUGAUACAGUGGGAAAAGGUGGCCUCUGUAUAUGCUAUCACUUGGAGAUAAGCUCGCGGACCAUUAGCUUGUUGGUAGGGUAACGGCCUACCAAGGCCAAGAUGGUUAGCUGGUCUGAGAGGAUGAUCAGCCACACUGGAACUGAGACACGGUCCAGACUCCUACGGGAGGCAGCAGUGGGGAAUAUUGCGCAAUGGGGGAAACCCUGACGCAGUGACGCCGUGUGAGUGAUGAAGGUUUUCGGAUCGUAAAGCUCUGUCAGAUGGGAAGAAUAAAGGCAGGGAAAAUAUUUCUGCCUGAUGACGGUACCAUCAGAGGAAGCACCGGCUAACUCCGUGCCAGCAGCCGCGGUAAUACGGAGGGUGCAAACGUUGUUCGGAAUUACUGGGCGUAAAGCGCAUGUAGGCGGAUAUGGAAGUCAGAUGUGAAAGCCCUUGGCUCAACCAAGGAAGUGCAUCUGAAACCACAUAUCUUGAGUAUGACAGAGGGAAGUGGAAUUUCCAGUGUAGAGGUGAAAUUCAUAGAUAUUGGAAAGAACACCGGUGGCGAAGGCGGCUUUCUGGGUCAUUACUGACGCUGAGAUGCGAAAGCGUGGGGAGCAAACAGGAUUAGAUACCCUGGUAGUCCACGCCGUAAACGAUGUGCACUAGGUGUUGGGAGUAAUUAAACUCACAGUGCCGAAGCUAACGCAUUAAGUGCACCGCCUGGGGAUUACGGUCGCAAGACUAAAACUCAAAGGAAUUGACGGGGGC
rnacentral:rRNA from 1 species